GGCUCAGAACGAACGCUGGCGGCGUGCCUAACACAUGCAAGUCGAACGGGAUUAGGGGCUUGCUCCUAAUCUAGUGGCGCACGGGUGAGUAACGCGUAGAUAAUCUGCCUGAUGAUCUGGGAUAACACUUCGAAAGGGGUGCUAAUACCGGAUAAGCCCACGGGGUCUUUGGACUCUGCGGGAAAAGGGGGGGACCUUCGGGCCUUCUGUCAUCAGAUGAGUCUGCGUACCAUUAGCUAGUUGGUAGGGUAAUGGCCUACCAAGGCUACGAUGGUUAGCUGGUUUGAGAGAAUGAUCAGCCACACUGGAACUGAGACACGGUCCAGACUCCUACGGGAGGCAGCAGUGGGGAAUUUUGCGCAAUGGGCGAAAGCCUGACGCAGCAACGCCGCGUGAGUAAUGAAGGCUUUCGGGUCGUAAAGCUCUGUCGAGGGGAAAGAAGUGUAUUGUGGCUAAUAUCCACGAUACUUGACGGUACCCCUAAAGGAAGCACCGGCUAACUCCGUGCCAGCAGCCGCGGUAAUACGGGGGGUGCAAGCGUUGUUCGAAAUUAUUGGGCGUAAAGAGCGUGUAGGCGGUUUGUUAAGUCUGAUGUGAAAGCCCUGGGCUCAACCCAGGAAGUGCAUUGGAAACUGGCAGACUUGAAUACGGGAGAGGGCAGUGGAAUUCCUAGUGUAGGAGUGAAAUCCGUAGAUAUUAGGAGGAACACCGGUGGCGAAGGCGGCUGCCUGGACCGAUAUUGACGCUGAGACGCGAAAGCGUGGGUAGCAAACAGGAUUAGAUACCCUGGUAGUCCACGCCGUAAACGAUGAGAACUAGGUGUUGCGGGUAUUGACCCCUGCAGUGCCGCAGCUAACGCAUUAAGUUCUCCGCCUGGGAAGUACGGUCGCAAGACUAAAACUC
rnacentral:rRNA from 1 species